rnacentral:tRNA from 1 species
GGGUUGAUAGCUCAGCUGGUAGAGCAACGGCCUUUUAAGCCGCUGGUCCUGGGUUCGAAUCCCAGUCGACCCACCA